rnacentral:rRNA from 1 species
AUUCUCAGUUCGGAUUGUAGGCUGAAACUCGCCUACAUGAAGCUGGAGUUACUAGUAAUCGCAGAUCAGAAUGCUGCGGUGAAUGCGUUCCCCGGGUCUUGUACACACCGCCCGUCACACCACGGAAGUUGGGGGCGCCCGAAGCCACUUAGCUAACCCUUUUGGGAAGCGAGUGUCGAAGGUGAAAUCAAUAACUGGGGUGAAGUCGUAACAAGGUACC